rfam:Nematostella vectensis strain CH2 x CH6 NEMVEscaffold_279_Cont22159, whole genome shotgun sequence.
GCCGAAAUAGCUCAGUUGGGAGAGCGUCAGACUGAAGAUCAGAAGGUCCCUGGUUCAAUCCAGAGAGUUUGUG